rnacentral:rRNA from 1 species
AUUGAACGCUGGCGGCAUGCUUUACACAUGCAAGUCGAACGGUAACAGGCCGCAAGGUGCUGACGAGUGGCGAACGGGUGAGUAAUGCAUCGGAACGUGCCCAGUCGUGGGGGAUAACGCAGCGAAAGCUGUGCUAAUACCGCAUACGAUCUAUGGAUGAAAGCGGGGACCGUAAGGCCUCGCGCGAUUGGAGCGGCCGAUGUCAGAUUAGGUAGUUGGUGGGGUAAAGGCCCACCAAGCCAACGAUCUGUAGCUGGUCUGGGAGGACGACCAGCCACACUGGGACUGAGACACGGCCCAG